CCUACGGGCGACAGCAGUGGGGAAUUUUGCGCAAUGCUCGUAAGAGUGACGCGGCGACGCCGCGUGAAUGACGAAGGCCUUCGGAUCGUAAAGUUCUUUCGACAGGGAAGAAAAUGCAUAUAAGUAACUGUGUAUGUAUUGACGGUACCUGUAUAAGCAGCCCCGGCUAACUCCGUGCCAGCAGCCGCGGUAAUACGGAGGGGGCGAGCGUUGGUCGGAGGGACUGGGCGUAAAGAGCACGUAGGCGGUGUUGUAAGUCAUUAGUCAAAGACUAGAGCUCAACUUUAGUAAGGCUAGUGAUACUAUAAUACUAGAGUAUCAGAGAGGAUUGCAGAAUUCCUGGUGUAGCGGUGAAAUGCGUAGAUAUCAGGAGGAAUACCGUUAGCGAAGGCGGCAAUCUGGCUGGAAACUGACGCUGAGGUGCGAAAGCGUGGGUAGCAAACAGGAUUAGAUACCCGAGUAGUC
rnacentral:rRNA from 1 species